GGGGGUGUAGCUUAGUGGUAGAGCGAAAGCCUGAAAAGCUUUAGGUCGUUGGUUCGAGUCCAAUCACCCCCA
rnacentral:tRNA from 1 species